GUCCACGCCGUAAACGAUGAGAGCUAGUUGUCUGGCAGCAUGCUGUUAGGUGACGCAGCUAACGCAUUAAGCUCUCCGCCUGGGGAGUACGGCCGCAAGGUUAAAACUCAAAGAAAUUGACGGGGGCCCGCACAAGCGGUGGAGCAUGUGGUUUAAUUCGAAGCAACGCGCAGAACCUUACCUACCCUUGACAUUUGGUGCUACAUCCAGAGAUGGAUGGUCCUCUUCGGAGGCGCCAGGACAGGUGCUGCAUGGCU
rnacentral:rRNA from 1 species